AUGGCGUCCAGGGAGGUCAGCAUCCAGAUGGCGAGGGUACUGGACGGACAGCCGGGGUGUGCUCCGUCCCCGGAGCCGCUUCUCCUUUGUGUCCCGUCGCAGGCCGCCGGCGUUUCUUCAAUGGAGGCUGCCGAUGCCGUCGUUUCCGGCGGCAGGACCACCAAGAAAGCGGCCGCGGCUGCUUACGCUGAGACGCCGAGCUCUGUUUUGAUCAACGUCCCGGGUUCGCCGUCGGGCAUGCCAUCGUUCGUCUGCGCCAACGAGGCCGACGUGGGCGCCCCUGCCGUCCCGCCGACCGUGUCGAAGGUCGAGCGGGCUCACCACCUGGCCGUGCCACAGCUGCUGAAGCAGGCCCGGCACCACUCGCAGCCGUCCUUGGUGGUCAGAACCGGCGGCGAGGUGCCGGCGGUGCUGCGGAGCGACAGCAUGCGGGAUCGAGACCGGCGGUUUGACCAGUUCAAGACGUUCUCUGGCCGCCUUGAACGGCAGCUCUCCAGCCUCCGUGGGGUGCCACAGAACACCGACGUCGAAAAAGGUGCGGCAUCAAAGAUCUCAGAGGAGGACACCGACGAGGACGAUGAAGUGCCCACCGCCGACCGCUACUUCGCCGCCCUCGAAGGACCCGAGCUCGAGACACUUCGGUCGACAGAGGUGGCCGUGUUGCCUAAGGACGAGACAUGGCCGUUCCUGCUCCGGUUCCCCAUCAGCGCCUUUGGGAUGUGCCUUGGCGUGAGCAGCCAGGCCAUGCUCUGGAAGACCCUCGAGUCGGAGCCCUCCACCAAGUUUCUUCACGUGCACCCUGCUACCAACCACGUCCUCUGGUGGAUCUCCGUCGCACUCAUGGUCGUCGUCUCCAUCACCUACCUUCUAAAGGUCGUUUUCUACUUCGAGGCCGUCCGCCGCGAGUUCCACCAUCCCGUGCGCGUCAACUUCUUCUUUGCACCAUGGAUUGCCUGCCUUUUUCUUGUCAAGGGCGUGCCGCAUCCAGUGUGGGAGAUCCACCACGCCGUCUGGUACGUGCUAAUGGCGCCCAUCCUGUGCCUCGACCUCAAGAUCUACGGCCAGUGGAUGUCUAGCGGCGAGCGGCGCCUCUCAAAGGUGGCCAACCCAUCAAACCACCUCGCUGUCGUUGGCAACUUCGUUGGUGCGCUGCUUGGCGCUAGGAUGGGUCUCCGAGAGCUGCCAAUCUUUUUCUUUGCCGUCGGGUUGGCCCACUACGCCGUGCUCUUCGUCACUCUAUAUCAGCGGCUCCCCACCAACGUGCAGCUCCCCAAGGAGCUCCACCCAGUGUUCUUCCUUUUCGUCGCCGCACCUAGCGUCGCAUCCAUGGCAUGGACAAGGAUCUCUGGCGAGUUCAACGAUGGUGCGAAGCUCCUUUACUUCAUCUCACUAUUCCUCUAUGUGUCGCUGGUGGUGCGCGUCAACCUCUUUCGGGGGUUCAGGUUCUCACUGGCAUGGUGGGCGUACACAUUUCCGAUGACGAGUGUGGCCUUGGCGACAGUGUUGUAUGCAUCGGAGGUAGACAAUGUGUUGACGCGCUCACUGGCAGUCGGGUUGUCAGGAAUUGCCGUUGUCACGGUCACCGGCGUGCUAGCCACCACCAUGUACCACGCCUUCCUGCGGAAGGACCUCUUCCCCAAUGACGUAUCCAUAGCCAUCACGCGACGAAGGCCCAAGUUUAGCAAGAUCCUCGCGCACCUUCGGUCGUCAAGCUCUGAUGUCAAGGAGCUUGUUCUCUCCAUCCCAAAUUUUAGUUCCAAUUCCAAGCAAGGCGCAUACUGCGAUGAUGCCGGCUCCAUCUACAAGACGAGGGGCAGUGUCGGCGAAUCUACUGUGGCACAAGGGCACGGAAGAGCAAAGUGUUAG
rnacentral:rRNA from 1 species